AGUGAACGCUGGCGGCGUGCCUAAUACAUGCAAGUCGAACGGAGUGGCGCACGGGUGAGUAAUAUAUAGCUAAUCUGCCUAUUGCUGGAGGACAACAGUUAGAAAUGACUGCUCAUACCCCAUAGAAAGGGAUGAGACUAUAUCGUAUCAGCUAGUCAGUGGGGUAACGGCCUACCGAGGCUAUGACGCGUAACUGGUCUGAGAGGAUGAUCAGGAACAUUGGAAGUGAGACACGGGCCAAACACCUACGGGAAGCAGCAGGAGGGAAAAGUGCGCAAUGGGGGAAACCCAGACGCAGCAACGGCGCGUGGAGGAUGACACUUUGCGGAGCGUAAACGCCUAUUGUUAGGGAAGCGGUACCUAACGAAUAAGCAACGGCUAACUACGUGCCAGCAGCCGCGGUAAUAC
rnacentral:rRNA from 1 species